rnacentral:rRNA from 1 species
AUUGAACGCUGGCGGCAUGCCUUACACAUGCAAGUCGAACGGUAACAGGUCUUCGGAUGCUGACGAGUGGCGAACGGGUGAGUAAUACAUCGGAACGUGCCUAGUAGUGGGGGAUAACUACUCGAAAGAGUGGCUAAUACCGCAUGAGAUCUACGGAUGAAAGCAGGGGAUCGCAAGACCUUGUGCUACUAGAGCGGCCGAUGGCAGAUUAGGUAGUUGGUGGGAUAAAAGCUUACCAAGCCGACGAUCUGUAGCUGGUCUGAGAGGACGAUCAGCCAAAAUGGGACUGAGACACGGGCCAGACUCCUACGGGAGGCAGCAGUGGGGAAUUUUGGACAAUGGGCGAAAGCCUGAUCCAGCAAUGCCGCGUGCAGGAUGAAGGCCUUCGGGUUGUAAACUGCUUUUGUACGGAACGAAAAGCCCCGGGUUAAUACCCUGGGGUCAUGACGGUACCGUAAGAAUAAGCACCGGCUAACUACGUGCCAGCAGCCGCCGCCG